rnacentral:pre_miRNA from 1 species
UUAACUCAAAUUUGUAUGGAGUUAGAACGUUUGCCUACGUUUGCCGCUAGGAGCGCUGUCCAACUGCAUAGAAAUCUGAGUUA